rnacentral:rRNA from 1 species
UACGAAGGGUGCAAGCGUUAAUCGGAAUUACUGGGCGUAAAGCGUGCGUAGGCGGUUUGUUAAGUCUGUCGUGAAAUCCCCGGGCUCAACCUGGGAAUGGCGAUGGAUACUGGCGAGCUAGAGUGUGUCAGAGGAUGGUGGAAUUCCCGGUGGAGCGGUGAAAUGCGUAGAGAUCGGGAGGAACAUCAGUGGCGAAGGCGGCCAUCUGGGACAACACUGACGCUGAAGCACGAAAGCGUGGGGAGCAAACAGG